GCCGCCCGCGCUCCCCGCGCUCCCCGGAAGCGUCCUGCCGCCGCCGGCCGGCCGCGCCACAGGGGAACGGCGCCCGUCUACGCUUCCAUGGUCGCUUCCCCUGCGCGGAGCGCUGGGCCAUCGCCAGCUUUCCGGGGUUGACCCGGCCUUUGGGCGAGAGGGAGGAGGGCUCAGAUGGCGUUUUAUUCAAAUAUGAAGGCAUCAGGAUGAGGAGGAGCUGGCAGACGAAAAAGAGGGGAAGAACAUGUGAAAAUACUUGGAGGAAGGAGAAAGAGCAUGGCAUGUGCUAGGAUUAACACUACAGACAAUUCAGAUCCUGGGCUCCUGGGAAUCCUAUUAAAACACACCAGAUGGGAUGCCAUGAGAAGAAAAGUCACCAAAGGAGGAUUGUGGGAUAAGCAUGCAACAAAAGAUAUCCACACAGCACCUAGGGAUGCCUGAGAGACCCACGCUGCUAUACAGUGGAAGGUG
rnacentral:lncRNA from 1 species